CAGGAGGCGACCUGGGUUUCUUCAAACCCUAAAAUCCUCACUAAAACUCUCAAAUUGGAGGUGCAAAUCUGGUCCAAAACGAAAAUUGAGCAUAGAUUAUUGAUCCUCAUCACAAGAGGAUUACAAGUUGGCGCUUAAACAAGCCAGGUGAAGCUUGGAGUGAAAGCGGGUCAAACGAGUCAAGCAUAGAAGAAAAGCGUAGCUCGGAUGCAAGGUAUAAUUUUAGCACCGGAGGAGGAUCAAGCACAACGAAGAACCGAACACGAUCAAGAUAUAAGCUUCCGCACUUUGUAUCGUUGUUAUGUAAAAUGACGAACUCACCCAUAAUAUGUUGUAUAGUUUUUAAUUCUGUAAAUAAAGUUUAAUGAACCCGUAUUUUCAAUGUAUUUGAAAUCAUAAUUACUCGUUUGUUUUCGUAAAUUA